AGGUAAUUAGUAUAAUGUAAUACACUUGAUUUCGGCUCCAGCACUUAUGGUUAAAAUCCAUGAUUACCUA
rnacentral:tRNA from 1 species